rnacentral:lncRNA from 1 species
GCGCGGCGGCGGCAGCGGGACGCGCGGCUCCCCCUGGCUGCGCGGCGGCGGCGGGAGGCGGCCGCGCUCUGAGGAGGAGCCGCCGCCGCCUCAUCCUGCGGCAGCGCGAGGAGCCCGGCGAGCGCAGGUGGCAGUGUAGAAGCCAAGAACAAAAAUUGGCAGAAAUAUUUUCUGUGUAUGAGAAAAYGAAGAGUGUACUCAUGACUAAGCACAGGAACCUGAAAAACCACAGUACUGUCUUUUGAGUUCUGAAGAAUCAAAAGUGUGAGGAGGAUUACAGACAUGAAAUUAAGAUGCCAUUUCAAAUGACUGUCCAGGUGUGAAGCCCAUGUGACAUAAAGGAAAAUAAAGUUAUAAGAUGAAAGUAUUUAUAACA